rnacentral:rRNA from 1 species
AGCAGCCGCGGUAAUUCCAGCUCCAAUAGCGUAUAUUAAAGUUGUUGCAGUUAAAAAGCUCGUAGUUGAAUUUCGGGGUUAGUAAGUUGGUCAUGCCAUUGGUAUGCACUGGCUUUACUGAUUCCUCCUUCUUGACGAACCGUGAUGUCAUUAAUUUGGUGUUGCGGGAAAUCAGGACUGUUACUUUGAAAAAAUUAGAGUGUUUAAAGCAAGCUAACGCUUGAAUACAUUAGCAUGGAAUAAUGAAAUAGGACGUUCGAUCCUAUUUUGUUGGUUUCUAGGAUUGACGUAAUGAUUAAUAGGGAUAGUUGGGGGCAUUAGUAUUCAAUUGUCAGAGGUGAAAUUCUUGGAUUUAUUGAAGACUAACUACUGCGAAAGCAUUUGCCAAGGAUGUUUUCAUUAAUCAAGAACGAAAGUUAGGGGAUCGAAGACGAUCAGAUACCGUCGUAGUCUUAACCAUAAACUAUGCCGACUAGGGAUCGGAUGAUGUUAAUUCUUUAAUGACUCA